UCCCCUGAAGAAUAAUGGUUAGGCCUCGGUGCUCUGACCGCCGCGGCCCAGGUUUGAUUCCUGGCCAGGGAA